rnacentral:misc_RNA from 1 species
GAUGAAGAACGUAGCGAAAUGCGAUAAGUAAUGUGAAUUGCAGAAUUCAGUGAAUCAUCGAAUCUUUGAACGCACAUUGCGCCCGCCAGCACUCUGGCGGGCAUGCCUGUUCGAGCGUCAUUUCAACCAUCAAGCCCCCAGGGGCUUGUGCUGGGGCCUGCGGCUGCCCGCAGGCCCUGAAAACCAGUGGCGGGCUCGCUAGUCACACCGAGCGCAGUAGCACAUCUCGCUCAGGGCGUGCGGCGGGCUCCUGCCGUGAAACCCCCCACUGUAACCCCAAAGGUUGACCUCGGAUCAGGUAGGAAUACCCGCUGAACUUAAGCAUAUCAAUAAGCGGAGGA